GGGUCCGUCGAGAGGACGGACCGAGGCCACACUGGGACUGAGACACGGCCCAGACUCCUACGGGAGGCAGCAG
rnacentral:rRNA from 1 species